rnacentral:rRNA from 1 species
GACGAACGCUGGCGGCGUGCUUAACACAUGCAAGUCGAACGAAGAGCGAUGGAAGCUUGCUUCUCUCAAUCUUAGUGGCGAACGGGUGAGUAACGCGUAAUCAACCUGCCCUUCAGAGGGGGACAACAGUUGGAAACGACUGCUAAUACCGCAUACGAUCUAACCUCGGCAUCGAGGAUAGAUGAAAGGUGGCCUCUACAUGUAAGCUAUCACUGAAGGAGGGGAUUGCGUCUGAUUAGCUAGUUGGAGGGGUAACGGCCCACCAAGGCGAUGAUCAGUAGCCGGUCUGAGAGGAUGAACGGCCACAUUGGGACUGAGACACGGCCCAGACGCCUACGGGAGGCAGCAGUGGGGAAUCUUCCGCAAUGGACGAAAGUCUGACGGAGCAACGCCGCGUGAGUGAUGACGGCCGUCGGGUUGUAAAGCUCUGUUAAUCGGGACGAAAGGCCUUCUUGCGAAUAGUGAGAAGGAUUGACGGUACCGGAAGAGAAAGCCACGGCUAACUACGUG